AUUCAUGACUGGGGUGAAGUCGUAACAAGGUAACCGUAGGGGAACCUGCGGUUGGAUCACCUCCUUACCUGAAAGAAGC
rnacentral:rRNA from 1 species